rnacentral:lncRNA from 1 species
UUUUUUUCUCUUUAUUUUUCUUAGUUGCAUGGGUCGGGCCCAAUAAUUUGGCCUUUUAUUUUCUGUGAUGAAGCCUUUUACUGAGCAACUUUUUUAUAGCCCACUCUUGUUUUGGGCCACAACCUCUUUAGUUCAGUUCUUGUUUGGGCCUUGGCCUUUUAUUUUAAGAUAUGCAACCUUUUAACUAACUUCUUUUACAGACAACUCUUUUUUAG